rnacentral:rRNA from 1 species
GAUGAACGCUGGCGGCGUGCCUAAUACAUGCAAGUCGAGCGAACAGACGAGGAGCUUGCUCCUCUGACGUUAGCGGCGGACGGGUGAGUAACACGUGGAUAACCUACCUAUAAGACUGGGAUAACUUCGGGAAACCGGAGCUAAUACCGGAUAAUAUAUUGAACCGCAUGGUUCAAUAGUGAAAGACGGUUUUGCUGUCACUUAUAGAUGGAUCCGCGCCGCAUUAGCUAGUUGGUAAGGUAACGGCUUACCAAGGCAACGAUGCGUAGCCGACCUGAGAGGGUGAUCGGCCACACUGGAACUGAGACACGGUCCAGACUCCUACGGGAGGCAGCAGUAGGGAAUCUUCCGCAAAGGGCGAAAGCCUGACGGAGCAACGCCGCGUGAGUGAUGAAGGUCUUCGGAUCGUAAAACUCUGUUAUUAGGGUAGAACAAAUGUGUAAGUAACUAUGCACGUCUUGACGGUACCUAAUCAGAAAGCCACGGCUAACUACGUG